rnacentral:lncRNA from 1 species
CAAGAUGAUAGAUAAUACAUAUCUAGCUUAUACAUGUGCUAUCAUUCAAUAUAUAUUUCCAUGUUUGUCAUAUUGUGAAAGAAGAUAUAUUGUAUUACUACAAAAAAAACUCAAGGAGGAAAUAAAGUAAAGAAUGGUAUGUUUCAAUCUUCAUUCAGACUCCAUCAGUUCUUCUGUGGCAGCGGAUAGCUUUUUCAUCAUGAGUCUCUUGGAGUUGUCCUGGAUCCUUGCCUGCUGAUAAUAGUAAAAUCACUCACAACUGAUCAUCAUACAUCAUUGCUGUUUCUGUGUACAACUUUCUCCUGGUUCUGCUGACUUCACUUCGCAUUAUUUCAUAGCAGUCUUUCCAGAAGAGCUUACUCCUAGCUCAGGAAUGAGGCAAGAUUUCAUUGGAGAACAAGAAUGAGCAGAAUUUCAGCAAGUCAAGUGGGUUGAAGAAAGGCAUUCGAGGUGGAAUGAAAAGCAUAAGCAAAGUCAUGGAGGAUGAAAAGAUAUAUUCAAGGAUGACAAGAUGACCAGUUUGACUGAAUUAAGAAUGAGGUUCUCCCAGAAAAGCAAUAUGACAUUGACGAUUAAAAAGCAGGGAAAGGAAGAAAUGGCAGGACACAUGGUCUCCAGUACCACUGAAGUUCCCUUUAGAUGAGAACGUUAAUCAAGCUUCUGACCAAAAUCUGUCUCAAGAAUGUACCCGCAAGGAGUGGGAUUUUGCUGACUGUAUCAUAAAGACAGAGGUGAAAACUUACUAAUAUGGAUCCUUGGGAUUUAAGAUUGAAUAAUUUCCUCAGGAACAUGAGGCAGCUUUAUCCAUUUAGCCAGAAGAAAUUCCAUUCAGGAGGCAACAAUUAUCCCCAGAAGGAUUUGGCUAUGGGUCUACAUGUGAAGUCACAAGUCAUCCAAGUCCAGUGGCAAGAC